rfam:Brachypodium distachyon strain Bd21 chromosome 3, whole genome shotgun sequence.
CUAGUACUUUCUCCGUCCAACAAAAGAUGUCUCAACUUUGACUAAAUUUAAAUGUAUCUAUACACUAAAUCAUGUUUAGAUAGAUUCAAAUUUUUGACAAACUUGAAACAUCUUUUGUUGAACGUAGUGAGUAGUAC